rnacentral:lncRNA from 1 species
CACACAACCCCCAUUUUUGUCGAAAAUAGCCAUGAACGACCAUUUUCAAUUACACUGAAGGCUAACACCUAUGGAUUUUUGACCAAGAAAUGGUCUCCACCAUAAAUCCAAGAAUGUGAUCUAUGGCAAGGAAACAUAUGUGUAGUGAGGUGUAUGAGCCUCUGGUCGAAGAUCAAUGGCCACACAACCCCCAUUUUUGUCGAAAAUAGCCAUGAAUGACCAUUUUCAAUAAUACCGAAGGCUAACACGUACGGAUUUUUGACCAAGAAAUGGUCUCCACCAGAAAUCCAAGAAUGUGAUCUACGACAAGGAAACAUAUGUGGGUGAGGUGUAUGAGCCUCUGGUCGAUGAUCAAUGGCCACACAACCCCCAUUUUGUCGAAAAUAGCCAUGAACGACCACGACCAUUUUCAAUAAUACUGAAGGCUAACACGUACGAAUUUUUGACCAAGAAAUGCUCUCCACUAGAAAUACAAGAAUGUGAUCUAUGGCAAGGAAACAUAUGUGGGGUGAGGUGUACGAGCCUCUGGUCGAUGAUAAAUGGCCACACAACCCCCAUUUUAGUCGAAAAUAGCCAUGAACGACCAUUUUCAAUAAUACCGAAGGCUAACACCAACAGAUUUUUGACCAAGAAAUGGUCUCCACCAGAAUUCCAAGAAUGUGAUCUAUAGCAAGAAAACCAAUGUGGGGUGAAGUGUAUGAGCCUCUGGUCGAUGAUCAAUGGCCACACAACCCCCAUUUUUGUCGAAAAUAGCCAUGAACGACCAUUUUCAAUGACACUUAAGGCUAACACCUAUGGAUUUUUGACUAAGAAAUGGUCUCCACCAGAAAUCCAAGAAUGUGGUCUAUGGCAAGGAAACAUAUGUGGGGUGAGGUGUAUGAGCCUUUGGUCGAUGAUCAAUUGCCACACAACCCCCAUUUUUGUCGAAAAUAGCCAUGAACGACCAUUUUCAAUAAUACCGAAGGCUAACACCUACGGAUUUUUGACCAAGAAACGGUCUCCACCAGAAAUCCAAGAAUGUGAUCUAUGGAAGGAAACUUAUGUGGGGUGAGGUGUACGAGCCUCUGGUCGAUGAUCAAUGGCGACACAACCCCCAUUUUUGUCGAAAAUAGCCAUUAAUGACCAUUUUCAAUGACACUAAAGGCUAACACCUACAAAUUUUUGACCAACAAAUAGUCUCCACGAGAAAUCCAAGAUUGUGAUCUAUGGCAAGAAACAUAUGUGGGGUGAAGUGUACGAGCCUCUGGUCGAUGAUCAAUGGCCACACAACCCCCAUUUUUGUCGAAAAUAGCCAUGAACGACCAUUUUCAAUACACUAAGGCUAACACCUAUGGAUUUUUGACCAAGAAAUGGUCUCCACCAUAAAUCCAAGAAUGUGAUCUAUGGCAAGGAAACAUAUGUGUAGUGAGGUGUAUGAGCCUCUGGUCGAAGAUCAAUGGCCACACAACCCCCAUUUGUGUCGAAAAUAGCCAUGAAUGACCAUUUUCAAUAAUACCGAAGGCUAACACGUACGGAUUUUUGACCAAGAAAUGGUCUCCACCAGAAAUCCAAGAAUGUGAUCUAUGGCAAGGAAACAUAUGUGGGGUGAGGUGUAUGAGCCUCUGGUCGAUGAUCAAUGGCCACACAACCCCAUUUUUGUCGAAAAUAGCCAUGAACGACCAUUUACAAUAAUACCGAAGGCUAACACCUACGGAUUUUUGACCAAGAGAAGAUCUCCACCAGAAAUCCAAGAAUGUGAUCUAUGGCAAGGAAACAUAUGUGGGGUGAGGUGUACGAGCCUCUGAUCGAUGAUCAAUGGCCACACAACCCCCAUUUUUGUCGAAAAUAGCCAUGAACGACCAUUUUCAAUACAUCCGAAGGCUAACACCUACGGAUUUUUGACCAAGAAAUCGUCUCCACCAGAAAUCCAAGAAUAUGAUCUAUGGCAAGGAAACAUAUUGGGGUGAGGUGUACGAGCCUCUGGUCGAUGAUCAGUGGCCACACAACCCCCAUUUUUUGUCGAAA